rnacentral:SRP_RNA from 1 species
CGGUCCCUUCGCAACGCAAAGCAGCGAACCCCGUCAGAUCCGGAAGGAAGCAGCGGUAGUUGUCCAUGCGGGUGCCGGGGUGCGGCU